UACGUAGGGUGCGAGCGUUGUCCGGAAUUAUUGGGCGUAAAGAGCUUGUAGGCGGUCUGUCGCGUCUGCUGUGAAAACCCGGGGCUUAACCCCUGGCUUGCAGUGGAUACGGACAGACUAGAGGUAGGUAGGGGAGAAUGGAAUUCCCGGUGUAGCGGUGAAAUGCGCAGAUAUCGGGAGGAACACCGGUGGCGAAGGCGGUUCUCUGGGCCUUACCUGACGCUGAGGAGCGAAAGCGUGGGGAGCGAACAGG
rnacentral:rRNA from 1 species